rnacentral:ncRNA from 2 species
AUUCCCCGCGCGGGAGAGUUCCGCCGCUGCCAGCGGCGGACGCCGAAGGAGCAACACCUCUCCGUCAACCUCUCAGGCCCAAGGACCGCGCGGGCCAC